rnacentral:rRNA from 1 species
AUGCUUUCACAACUUGACUUCAAAAUAUUUGGUUUGGAGACCAUCAAAGAUCAAUAUGUGCAUGAUGCUGAUUUUAAAGAUGUAAUGCAGAAUUGUAAAGAAGGAAGAAUGUGGAACAAGUUUGUUGUUAACGAUGGAUUUGUGUUUCGUGCUAACAAGCUAUGCAUUCCAGCUAGCUCCGUUCAUCUUUUGUUGUUGCAGGAGGCGCAUGGAGGAGGAUUAAUGGGACACUUUGGCGUGAAGAAGACGGAGGACGUACUUGCUACACAUUUCUUUUGGCCAAAGAUGAGACGGGAUGUUGAGCGGGCUGUUUUGAAGAAUAAUAAGAAAAUGUGGGAGGAAUGCUUGCCUCAUAUUGAAUUUGCUUAUAAUCGUUCAUUGCAUUCUACUACUAAGAUGUGCCCUUUUGAAGUUGUGUAUGGUUUCCUACCUCGUGCACCUAUUGAUUUGUUGCCUCUUCCAUCUUCGGAGAAGGUUAAUUUUGAUGCUAAACAACGUGCUGAAUUGAUUUUAAAAAUGCAUGAGUUAACUAAGGAAAACAUUGAGCGUAUGAAUGCUAAAUAUAAACUUGCUGGAGAUAAGGGUAGAAAACAUGUUGUGUUUGCACCUGGAGAUCUUGUUUGGUUACAUUUGCGUAAGGAUAGAUUUCCUGAUUUGCGCAAAUCAAAGUUAAUGCCACGUGCUGAUGGUCCCUUUAAGGUGUUGGAGAAAAUAAAUGAUAAUGCAUAUAAACUUGAGCUGCCUGCAGAUUUUGGGGUUAGUCCCACUUUUAACAUUGCAGAUUUGAAGCCUUAUUUGGGUGAGGAAGAUGAACUUCCGUCGAGGACGACUUCAUUUCAAGAAGGGGAGGAUGAUGAGGACAUCAAUACAAUUGUUACACCCACAGCCCCUGCUGCUAUACAUACUGGACCAAUUACUAGAGCUCGUGCACGCCAACUAAAUUACCAGGAAACAGACCCUCGUGGUCAGGUUGAUCGUGCCCCGGCGUGGUCAAUAACCUCUCGGAGUUGGUUUAGCGAUUGCUAA